rnacentral:rRNA from 1 species
UUGAACGCUGGCGGCAGGCCUAACACAUGCAAGUCGAACGGUAACAGGAAGCAGCUUGCUGCUUUGCUGACGAGUGGCGGACGGGUGAGUAAUGUCUGGGAAACUGCCUGAUGGAGGGGGAUAACUACUGGAAACGGUAGCUAAUACCGCAUAACGUCGCAAGACCAAAGAGGGGGACCUUCGGGCCUCUUGCCAUCGGAUGUGCCCAGAUGGGAUUAGCUUGUUGGUGGGGUAACGGCUCACCAAGGCGACGAUCCCUAGCUGGUCUGAGAGGAUGACCAGCCACACUGGAACUGAGACACGGUCCAGACUCCUACGGGAGGCAGCAGUGGGGAAUAUUGCACAAUGGGCGCAAGCCUGAUGCAGCCAUGCCGCGUGUAUGAAGAAGGCCUUCGGGUUGUAAAGUACUUUCAGCGGGGAGGAAGGGAGUAAAGUUAAUACCUUUACUCAUUGACGUUACCCGCAGAAGAAGCACCGGCUAACUCCGUGCCAGCAGCCGCGGUAAUACGGAGGGUGCAAGCGUUAAUCGGAAUUACUGGGCGUAAAGCGCACGCAGGCGGUUUGUUAAGUCAGAUGUGAAAUCCCCGGGCUCAACCUGGGAACUGCAUCUGAUACUGGCAAGCUUGAGUCUCGUAGAGGGGGGUAGAAUUCCAGGUGUAGCGGUGAAAUGCGUAGAGAUCUGGAGGAAUACCGGUGGCGAAGGCGGCCCCCUGGACGAAGACUGACGCUCAGGUGCGAAAGCGUGGGGAGCAAACAGGAUUAGAUACCCUGGUAGUCCACGCCGUAAACGAUGUCGACUUGGAGGUUGUGCCCUUGAGGCGUGGCUUCCGGAGCUAACGCGUUAAGUCGACCGCCUGGGGAGUACGGCCGCAAGGUUAAAACUCAAAUGAAUUGACGGGGGCCCGCACAAGCGGUGGAGCAUGUGGUUUAAUUCGAUGCAACGCGAAGAACCUUACCUGGUCUUGACAUCCACAGAACUUUCCAGAGAUGGAUUGGUGCCUUCGGGAACUGUGAGACAGGUGCUGCAUGGCUGUCGUCAGCUCGUGUUGUGAAAUGUUGGGUUAAGUCCCGCAACGAGCGCAACCCUUAUCCUUUGUUGCCAGCGGUCCGGCCGGGAACUCAAAGGAGACUGCCAGUGAUAAACUGGAGGAAGGUGGGGAUGACGUCAAAUCAUCAUGCCCUUUAUGUCCUGGGCUACACACGUACUACAAUGGCUAUAACAAAGGGAAGCGAAGCCGCGAGGUGAAGCAAAACCCAAAAAAGUAGUCUCAGUUCGGAUUGAAGGCUGAAAUUCGCCUUCAUGAAGCCGGAAUUGCUAGUAAUGGCAGGUCAGCAUACUGCCGUGAAUACGUUCCCGGGCCUUGUACACACCGCCCGUCACACCAUGGGAGUGGGUUGCAAAAGAAGUAGGUAGCUUAACCUUCGGGAGGGCGCUUACCACUUUGUGAUUCAUGACUGGGGUG